UUUGUACUCCCUCCGUUCCAAAAUUCUUGUCUUAAAUUUGUCUAAAUACGGAUGUAUCUAGUUACAUUUUAGUGUUAGAUACAUCUGUAUAUAAACAAAUGUAAGACAAGAAUUUUGGGGUGGAGGGAAUACUAC
rfam:Triticum aestivum genome assembly, contig: Triticum_aestivum_CS42_TGACv1_scaffold_224308_3B